rnacentral:misc_RNA from 1 species
GAUGAAGAACGCAGCGAAAUGCGAUACGUAAUGUGAAUUGCAAAUUCAGUGAAUCAUCGAGUCUUUGAACGCACAUUGCGCCCCCUGGUAUUCCGGGGGGCAUGCCUGUCCGAGCGUCAUUACUGCCCUCAAGCCCGGCUUGUGUGUUGGGCCCCGUCCUCCGAUCCGGGGGGACGGGCCCGAAAGGCAGCGGCGGCACCGCGUCCGGUCCUCGAGCGUAUGGGGCUUUGUCACCCGCUCUGUAGGCCCGGCCGGCGCUUGCCGAUCAACCCCAAUUUUUUAUAGGUUGACCUCGGAUCAGGUAGGGAUACCCGCUGAACUUAAGCAUAUCAAUAAGCGGAGGA